AAGGCCCCUUGUAGAACACGAGGUUGAUAGGCCAGGAGUGUAAGGUGAGUAAUCACUUCAGCUGACUGGUACUAAUAGGCCGAGGGCUUGACUUA
rnacentral:rRNA from 1 species